UACAGAGGGGGCAAGCGUUGUUCGGAUUUACUGGGCGUAAGGGCGCGUAGGCGGCCACCGCAAGUCGACUGUGAAAUCUCCGGGCUUAACCCGGAAAGGUCAGCCGAUACUGCGGGGCUAGAGUGCGGAAGAGGCGAGUGGAAUUCCUGGUGUAGCGGUGAAAUGCGCAGAUAUCAGGAGGAACACCUAUUGCGAAGGCAGCUCGCUGGGACGUAACUGACGCUGAGACGCGAAAGCGUGGGGAGCAAACAGG
rnacentral:rRNA from 1 species